rnacentral:lncRNA from 1 species
GAAAACUACUGCUAAAUCUAAGCCAAAACAGGGAAAGAAAUUAACAUCAACAUCAUUAGACAUGUAGAUCCAGGCAAGCCCACCACUAUGGCCAUCUGAUCUACAAAUGUGAGGAGACUGAAAAAAAAAAUUGAAAAAUUUGAGAAGAAGGCUACUGACAUGGGAGAGGGUUCCUUCAACUAUGCCUGGGUUUUGGAUAAGCUGAAAGCUGAAUGUGAGCACGGGAUCACCAUUGAUAACUCCAUGUGGAAAAUUGAGACCAGCCUCCCAGGGAUCCUAGCCUGCUCAUAGAAAACCAACUGCACACAUUUCACAGGCUCUCUGGUGAAGGGAUGCUCACUACAGGCAUAUGUUGCAGAAUGUCACUUCGUCCACCUCUCAGCUAUCAGAAUAAUGGGAAUGCCAUUCAAUUCAGCAAGGGCACAGCUACUAGAAGGCAAGACUGUAAGACCUUCCUCAGAGCCAUCUACUGAUUGGAGCACCUUCGAUGCUGAGAACCUUGUUUUAAAAAGCUGCCAAGAAGUCUGGAUGAUACAAGACACUAAAGUCCGGAAGAAAUAGUUUCUCUUCAACCCAGAUCUCCGCUGGAUUGAAGCUGUACAGACAGCUAGAAAUUUGCAUCUCUAUCACUCCUCUCUGAUGCCUUCUUCAAAAACUCUUGGACUCAUUGCCUCUGGCUGACUUCUUACAUUUCAGCUGGAACUUCAUUUUAGGAAAGACCAUCGUUUCUUAUGAACACCAAACUUUGUUCUUUAGGUGUAUGUGCCUUUUUACCUUUCCUGGUGAACGAUCUGUCAGUGACAGGAAGAGACUUCAUUUUCCCUCCAGCUACGUUAAAUCAUUAGGAGCAACUUCAAAUUUAGAAAACCCUGAUUCCUUACCAUUUUGAAAAUGAUUUAUUUUUUUCUGUGUGUUCU